ensembl:lncRNA
CAUUUGUGACGCUAUCUCUAAGUAUUCCAAGCACACCGAACGUCAUUGGAUGAAUCAAAAGACGACGCAAUUACGUCAUCACGUUUUGUUGGAAGACGAAAUGUUAUUGGAUGCGUCCGCCCUUUGCCCCGUCAAAAUUAACUGAAGGAAGAAAUUGUUGGUGCUGCAAACUUUUCCUCCGUUGGCUCCGUGUGGCAAACAUUCAGAAUGGACACGACAGGGAAGAGACGGCGAACUCUAACAAAGAAAAUGCAGGAAUCUGCUCUAGCAAGGAGAAGCCCACCAUCAUCGCACAGGGCCAGUGGAGGCGGACCAUCCCUUAACUGGGCCAGUGGAGUCUCACCUCCCUCCCACGGGGCCAGUAGAGUCUCACCUCCCUCCCACGGGGCAGUGGAGUCUCACCUCCCUCCCACGGGGCCAGUAGAGUCUCACCUCCCUCCCACGGGGCCAGUGGAGUCUCACCACCCUCCCACGGGGCCAGUAGAGUCUCGCCACCCUCCCACGGGGCCAGUAGAGUCUCACCUCCCUCCCACUGGGCCAGUGGAGUCUCACCUCCCUCCCACGGGGCCAGUAGAGUCUCCCUCCCUCCCACGGGGCCAGUGGAGUCUCACCUCCCUCCCACGGGGCCAGUAGAG